AUGAGGUUGACGACCUUAACUAUUCCGGUGGACAUUGAAGAAGAUAGUGAUUCUCAACGCAUUUUCUCUGUUACAGUUGUUGUGUAUGUUAAGCGCGGAAUUAGGAGAGUGAAGAGAUUGAACAUGAGUUGUAGAGAAUUUGAAGGUGAAGGCUGGUGCGCGAGGGGCUGCAACUUUAACGAUAAUGGUGGAAAACUCAUGGCUUGUGACAUUGGUUAUAGGGAAUCCAUGGUUAUGAGCAGUUUUAAGCUGUUGAGCAUGUCAUGA